CCUUACACACAGUGUUUUUUGUUAUUACAAGAACUUUUGCUUUGGUCUGGACUAGAAAUAGUUUGGGCCAGAGGUUUACUGAACUAAACUUCAAUAUUUAUAUUGAAUUGUUAUUUAUUUAAUUGUCAAUUUGUUGAUUAAAUUCAAAAAAUCUUCAAAACUUUCAACAACGGAUCUCUUGGUUCUCGCAUCGAUGAAGAACGCAGCGAAAUGCGAUAAGUAAUAUGAAUUGCAGAUUUUCGUGAAUCAUCGAAUCUUUGAACGCACAUUGCGCCCUCUGGUAUUCCAGAGGGCAUGCCUGUUUGAGCGUCAUUUCUCUCUCAAACCUUCGGGUUUGGUAUUGAGUGAUACUCUUAGUCGAACUAGGCGUUUGCUUGAAAUGUAUUGGCAUGAGUGGUACUGGAUAGUGCUAUAUGACUUUCAAUGUAUUAGGUUUAUCCAACUCGUUGAAUAGUUUAAUGGUAUAUUUCUCGGUAUUCUAGGCUCGGCCUUACAAUAUAACAAACAAGUUUGACCUCAAAUCAGGUAGGAUUACCCGCUGAACUUAAGCAUAUCAAA
rnacentral:rRNA from 1 species